UUAAAUCAGUUAUCGUCUAUUUGAUAGUACCUUACUACUUGGAUAACCGUGGUAAUUCUAGAGCUAAUACAUGCUGAAAACCCCGACUUCGGAAGGGAUGUAUUUAUUAGAUUAAAAACCAAUGCCCUUCGGGGCUCCCUGGUGAUUCAUGAUAACUUCUCGAAUCGCACGGCCUUGCGCCGGCGAUGGUUCAUUCAAAUUUCUGCCCUAUCAACUUUCGACGGCUGGGUCUUGGCCAGCCAUGGUGACAACGGGUAACGGAGGGUUAGGGCUCGACCCCGGAGAAGGAGCCUGAGAAACGGCUACUACAUCCAAGGAAGGCAGCAGGCGCGCAAAUUACCCAAUCCCGACACGGGGAGGUAGUGACAAUAAAUACUGAUACAGGGCUCUUUUGGGUCUUGUAAUUGGAAUGAGUACAAUUUAAUUCCCUUAACGAGGAACAAUUGGAGGGCAAGUCUGGUGCCAGCAGCCGCGGUAAUUCCAGCUCCAAUAGCGUAUAUUAAAGUUGUUGCAGUUAAAAAGCUCGUAGUUGAACCUUGGGCCUGGCUGGCCGGUCCGCCUCACCGCGUGCACUGGUCCGGCCGGGCCUUUCCCUCUGGGGAGCCGCAUGCCCUUCACUGGGCGUGUCGGGGAACCAGGACGUUUACUUUGAAAAAAUUAGAGUGUUCAAAGCAGGCUUAUGCUCGGAUACAUUAGCAUGGAAUAAUAGAAUAGGACGUGCGGUUCUAUUUUGUUGGUUUCUAGGACCGCCGUAAUGAUUAAUAGGGACAGUCGGGGGCAUCAGUAUUCAGUUGUCAGAGGUGAAAUUCUUGGAUUUACUGAAGACUAACUACUGCGAAAGCAUUUGCCAAGGAUGUUUUCAUUAAUCAGGAACGAAAGUUAGGGGAUCGAAGACGAUCAGAUACCGUCGUAGUCUUAACCAUAAACUAUGCCGACUAGGGAUCGGACGGUGUUA
rnacentral:rRNA from 1 species